GGUGGCUCAGUGGUAGAGUGCUUGCCUAGCAUGCAUGAGGCCCUGGGUUCAAUUCCUGAGCACCA
rnacentral:tRNA from 1 species